rnacentral:RNase_P_RNA from 2 species
GUCCUGCGCUGGAUAGCUACUCCGAUAUACAAAGUCGGAGAGGAAAGUCCGAACACGUAGUUCUGUAAAGAAUUAAACGUAGCGGGUAACGCCCGCCGCCCGCAAGGGUUGAGGUGCGAACAGUGACGAACCGAUUAAGUUCGGGUGAAACGGCAAAAUCCUUACGCGCGUGCAAGAUCGCGCUCUGACUUCGGUCAGAGAGAAUCGCUUGAGUCUCGCAGUAAUGCUGGACCUAGACAAAUUGCUAUCUCCGCAAGGCCUUGCCUUACGGACACAGAAUUCGGCUUAUAGGCACAAGACCAAG